GACUCCGUGGCGCAAUUGGUAGUGCGUCUGACUCCAGAUCAGAAGGUUGCGUGUUCGAGUCACGUCGGGGUCA